rnacentral:rRNA from 1 species
CCUACGGGUGGCUGCAGUGAGGAAUAUUGGUCAAUGGCCGAGAGGCUGAACCAGCCAAGUCGCGUGAGGGAAGACGGCCCUACGGGUUGUAAACCUCUUUUGUCGGGGAGCAAAGCGAGUCACGUGUGACUCAUUGCGAGUACCCGAAGAAAAAGCAUCGGCUAACUCCGUGCCAGCAGCCGCGGUAAUACGGAGGAUGCGAGCGUUAUCCGGAUUUAUGGGGUUAAAAGGGUGCGCAGGCGGCGGUGCAAGUCAGCGGUCAAAUUGCGGGGCUCAACCCCGUACUGCCGUUGAAACUGCAUGCCUUGAGUGCGCGAGAGGUAUGCGGAAUGCGUGGUGUAGCGGUGAAAUGCAUAGAUAUCACGAAGAACUCCGAUUGCGAAGGCAGCAUACCGGCGCGCAACUGACGCUGAUGCACGAAAGCGUGGGUAUCGAACAGGAUUAGAUACCCGAGUAGUC